CCUACGGGAGGCAGCAGUGGGGAAUUUUGCGCAAUGCUCGUAAGAGUGACGCAGCGACGCCGCGUGAAUGACGAAGGCCCUCUGGUCGGAAAGCUCCUUCUACAGGGGAGUAAAUGCCUCUACGUAACUGUGUUUGUAUUUACCCUACCUGUAUAAGUAGCCUCGGCUAACUCCGUGCCAGCAGCCGCGGUAAUACGGAGGGGGCGAGCGUUGUUCGGAGUGACUGGGCGUAAAGAGCACGUAGUCGGUGUUGUAAGUCAGUAGUCAAAGAGUGGAGCUCAACUUUAGUAAGGCUAGUGAUACUAUAAUACUAGAGUAUCAGAGAGGAUUGCAGAAUGCCUGGUGUAGCGGUGAAAUGCGUAGAUAUCAGGAGGAAUACCGAUAGCGAAGGCGGCAAUCUGGCUGGAAACUGACGCUGAGGUGCGAAAGCGUGGGUAGCAAACAGGAUUAGAUACCCCGGUAGUC
rnacentral:rRNA from 1 species